GACACGUAAUAAUCUAUGUUUGAAUCUAGGCGUAGACAUACUUUGUUUCGUGCUGAGAUCCAUGCUACCGUAUUAAACGAAUGUCUAGUGGCCUAAGCACCCGAGUUAAAACACGGAAAAAAAGUUAUGUUCUGUGCUUGAGCAGGUGUUUAAUGCCAUUUGUUCAAUCAUAUCCCUAACGAGACGCAAGUGAGAAGUUCGAAAUAAGGCAAGAUACAUAGUCCAUUUCUAAACUUGGAGAGAGAUGCACUACUGUCGUCUUCAGAUGUCCUAUACUGUGCUAAUGGUGACACCUAAGAAUCGUGCCAUUACGCAGUCAACAAUUCUGGCCGAUAACAAUAGAUAAGAUAAAGCCGGCUUGCGCCCGCCUUUCUUCCAUUAUCCGUCCGGUUUUUCCAAUUUCUGGAAGACGUUUUGCGAUGCUUCCACCAAAAACGAGGGAAUAUCAAAAAGCAUCACUGUCUUAAUAGGCCCUGUUAGCGGGACCAUGACGUUUUUGGAGAGAGGUAGCCAUCGUUCGAAAUCGUAGUGACGACUGCAGACGCCACGUUCACCUUCACCUGAUAUGAUAUAAUGCAACAGAUGCUAUCUUCAAACAGAAACAGUGCAAGGUGACCGGGUCGUCUCUGCUCCCGUUUUUGCGUUUGUUGUCGGAAACGAACUCGGGCUUGUCUGUCUGCUCAUCUGCCUUUUGCUUUUUUGACGGAUUCAUUUUGUCGACAGGUGAACCAGCAUAUCUUUGACCUGCAGUAUCGCUUCCCAUUUAUUUGUUUCGGAUUUCCGUUGUCCGUAUUCGAUGUUGCUCACCGCAUUGCUCGCGCGAUCCAGCUAUAGAAGAGUUUUGGCCAGUCGUCGGUCGCUUGUCAACUUCAGCACUAUCAUGGAUAAAAACAUUACAGCCAUGUCGAAAUUCGCUCCAGCUGAACGUGUAGCCGGAAUGGGCGAGAGCGUUUGGAUUGAAUUCGGCCGGCUAGCCCUUGAGAAUAAACCUGUUAACCUUGGGCAGGGUUUUCCAGACAUGCCUCCUCCUGAAAGCGUUGCAAGACCCCUCCGCGAGGCUAUCAUAAAGGGUGGCGAUUUUAUGAUUCAUCAGUACGCCCGUGGAUUCGGCGUUCCUCGUCUAGUGAAUGCCCUCUCAGCGCUGUACAGUAAGCUAACAGAACACGAGGUUAAUCCGAAUACCGAAGUGCUCGUUACAGUAGGAGCGUAUGAAGCUCUCUUUUGUGUGUUUAUGGGAUAUGUGAAUCCAGGGGACGAGGUGAUCAUCAUUGAACCGUUCUAUGAUUGCUACGAGCCAAUGGUACGGAUGGCCGGGGGAACUCCCGUCUUUAUUCCUCUUAGACUGAAAAAAACGGGCGACCACAUAUCAUCCGCUGACUGGGUUCUCGAUCCCGUUGAGUUGGCUUCGAAGUUUUCAGAUAAAACGAAGCUCAUUGUCGUUAAUACCCCGCAUAAUCCCCUCGGCAAGGUUUUCUCAAAGGACGAGUUGACUAUAAUUGGUGAUCUAUGCAAGAAGCACAACGUUGUAGCCGUUAUGGACGAAGUGUACGAAUGGAUAGUCUAUAAUGGCUCCAAGCACAUUCGGAUGAACACGCUUCCCGGCAUGUGGGAGCGGACCAUUACAAUUGGAAGCGCAGGAAAGACUUUCAGCAUUACAGGAUGGAAAAUUGGCUGGGCAUAUGGACCGGCCAACUUGUUGUGUGCUCUACAAUUAGUUCACCAGAACUGCGUGUACACAUGUCCGACGCCUAUUCAACAAGCAAUUGCUGUCGGCCUCGAAAUCGAAACGGCUAAAAUUGGUAAAGAAGAUUCCUAUUGGAAAUCAUUGGUCGAAGAACUCGAGCCAAAACGGGAUCGCAUUUGCAAGUUCUUACAGAGUGUCAACAUGAAUCCCACAGUCCCACAGGGCGGAUACUUCCUUACAUCAGACUUCUCACAAUUCGCAAAAAAUAUUGACAUGUCAGCCUUCACGGGUACAAAAGAUUUCCAGUUCGCUAAAUGGCUCUCGACGACUCAGAAACUACAGGGAAUACCUCCGUCAGUAUUCUAUGGACCAGAACACAAGGCUCUAGCCGAGAACUACAUCCGGUUCUGUUUCUUUAAGUAGUUCGUCGGUCUCGAGUAAGGCAGCGGGCUAUGCUGAGACGAACGUCCUUGGCAGAUGGCGACACGAGGAAUCGUUAACAGAGGCUAUAUACGUGCUAUGAAUUGAUCAAGUAGGGCACACAAUGUAGUUCCUGCCGUUGGCUAUGUGAAACGCCCCGCUCGUUGUGAAGAGGGCAAACUUAUAGGCGCGAGGUACAUUGAUACCUAAACCGAAAGGAGACUCAUCAGGCAUAGGCCAAGAAUCCUGUUUGAAACAGUCCUACGGGCUGUGGUGCGUGCUAGUCUGAUGUUAUAAAGGCCGUUCGAUGAUGGUUAUAUUGUUAAAGGAAAUAAAAUGGAAGUAAUAGUUGGUUUUCUGGCGAAGCUUUGUAUCGAGUCUGUCAAGCGCUUUUAGUUACGGGACGUUGAUCCGAACUCUUCGAUUGGCGUAUUACUCUCGGACCCGGUUUGCUGGUGUUACUGUGGCACAAGUGAAUACAAAAUGUCGCUACUGUUGGCACAUGGACCAAUCAAACGAAAUCUGAACGGUUUUCAUGCAGCGAAGUUUAGAAGAACAAGCACUCCUUUCUGCGUUCUACCAAGACCUACAGAUGAAACCUUGGGUAAAGCAGAAGAAAUCAUCAAGAAACUGCCAAACAAAAUGUAAAUAUUUGCAAUAUACGACGUCG